rnacentral:rRNA from 1 species
GACGAACGCUGGCGGCGUGCCUAAUACAUGCAAGUCGAACGCAGUGGGGACGGGUGAGUAAAACGUGGGUAACCUCCCAUCAGAGGGCAUAACACUUGGAAACAGGUGCUAAACCGAUACUGAUGUAUGGACCCGGGGUGCAUUCGCUACGUGGUGAGGUAACGGCUCACCAAGGCCACGAUGCCUAGCUGGGCGGCGAGGGGGACCUGCCACACUGGAACUGAGACACGGCCCAGACUCCUACGGGAGGCAGCAGUAGGGAAUCGUGGGCAAUGGGCGAAAGUCUGACCGAGCAACGCCGCGUGAGUGAAGAAGGGUUUCGGAUCGUAAAACUCUUUCGUUAGGGAGGCGGUAUCUAACCAAAAAGCCACGGCUAACUACGUGCCAGCAGCCGCGGUAAUAC